GAUGAACGCUGGCGGCGUGCCUAAUACAUGCAAGUCGAGCGAACGGACGAGAAGCUUGCUUCUCUGAUGUUAGCGGCGGACGGGUGAGUAACACGUGGAUAACCUACCUAUAAGACUGGGAUAACUUCGGGAAACCGUAGCUAAUACCGGAUAAUAUUUUGAACCGCAUGGUUCAAAAGUGAAAGACGGUCUUGCUGUCACUUAUAGAUGGAUCCGCGCUGCAUUAGCUAGUUGGUAAGGUAACGGCUUACCAAGGCAACGAUGCAUAGCCGACCUGAGAGGGUGAUCGGCCACACUGGAACUGAGACACGGUCCAGACUCCUACGGGAGGCAGCAGUAGGGAACCUUCCGAAAUGGGCGAAAGCCUGACGGAGCAACGCCGCGUGAGUGAUGAAGGUCUUCGGAUCGUAAAACUCUGUUAUUAGGGAAGAACAUAUGUGUAAGUAACUGUGCACAUCUUGACGGUACCUAAUCAGAAAGCCACGGCUAACUACGUG
rnacentral:rRNA from 1 species